rnacentral:rRNA from 1 species
UGGGCAACCUGCCCCUCUCUCUGGGAUAACCCCCGGGGAAAACCGGAGCUAAUACCGGAUACUCCGGCUGGAUCGCAUGGUCCGGCCGGGAAAGGUCCGCCGGAGAGGGAUGGGCCCGCGGCCUAUCAGCUUGUUGGUGAGGUAACGGCCCACCAAGGCGACGACGGGUAGCCGGCCUGAGAGGGUGACCGGCCACAUUGGGACUGAGACAUGGCCCAGACUCCUACGGGAGGCA